rnacentral:lncRNA from 1 species
GCUCUGGUCAAGUUUGCUGUUUCAUGUGUCUUGGGUUGGCUUCGCUGAUAAGCAGACCUAGGAGCUGACAUAUGUUAGCAGAGACAUAUUUGGACCCAACCUAUAUACUUUUUCUCUAUAAAGCAUUCAAAGAACAAUGUGACGAUUACAGUUGUGUGGGAUUUCACCCUUCCUUAACUAUAAAAAGAAGACUUCUUGGGCCAGGCCGGUGGCUCACGCCUGUAGUCCCAGCACUUUGGGAAGCCGAGGCGGAUGGAUCACGAGGUCAGGAGAUCGAGACCAGACUGGCCAACAUGGUGAAACCCCGUCUCUAACAAAAAUAGAAAAAUCAGCUGGGCAUGGUGGUGCAUGCCUGUAGUCCCAGCUACUUGGGAAGCUGAGGCAGGAGAAUUGCUUGAACCUGGGAGGUGGAGGUUGCAGUAAACCGAGAUCGUGCCACUGCACUCCAGCCUGGUGACAGAGCAAGAGUCCGUCUGAAAAAAAAAAAAGACUUCUUAAUAAAAAACAGGCAUACCUCAUUUUACUGCACUUCACUUUUUUUGUGCUUCACAGAUAUUGCUUUUUUUUUUUUUUUUUUUUUUUUUUACAAAUGGAAGGUUUGUGUGGUAACCCUUCAUUCAGCAAGUCCAUUGGUGCCAUUUAUCCAAGAGCAUGUGCUCACCUUGCGUCUCUAUGUUACAUUUUGGUAAUUCUUACAAUAUUUAAAAAUUUUCACUAUGAUUAUAUCUGUGAUGGUGGUCUGUGAUCAGUGAUCUUUGAUGUUCCUAUUGUAAUUGUUUUAGGGCACCACCAACUGCAUUCAUAUAGGACGGUGCACUUAAUUGGUAAAUACUGUGUGUAUUCUAACUGCUCCACCAAUCAGGUGUUGCCUCAUCUUUCUCCUGCUCCUUGGACUCUCAAUUCCCUCAGACACAACAGUGUUGAAAUUAGACCAAUUAAUAUCCCUACAAUGGCCUCUAAGUGUUGAAGUGAAAGAAAGAGUUUCAUGUUUCUCACUUUAAAUAAAAAGCUAGAUAUGAUUAAGCUUAGUGAGUGUAUUAGUCUGUUCUCAUGUUGCUAAUAGAGACAUACCUGAGACUGGGUAAUUUAUAAAGAAAAGAGGUUUAAUGGACUCACCACUCCACAUGAUUGGGGAGACCUCACAGUGAUGGUGAAAGACGAAGGAAGAGCAAAGAGACAUCUUACAUGGUGUCAGGCAGAGAGAGCUUGUGUAGGGGAACUCCCUUUUAUAAAACGAUCAGAUAUCAUGAGAUUUAUUCACUAUCAAGAGAACAGCAGGGGGAAGACCCAUCCCCAUGAUUCAACUGCCUCCCACUGGAUCCCUUCCAUAGCACGAGGGAAUUAUGGGAGCUACAAUUCAAGAUGAGGUUUGGGUGCAGACACAGACAGACCAUAUCAUUCUGCCCAUGGCCCCUCCCAAAUUUCAUGUCCUCACAUUUCAAAAUCCGUCAUGCCUUUCCAACAGUCCCCCAAAGUCUUAAGUCAUUUCAGCAUUAAUUCAAAAGUCCACAGUCCAAAGUCUCAUCGGAGACAAGCUAAGUCCCUUCUGCCUAUAAGCCAGUAAAAUCAAAAGCAAGUUAAUCACUUCAUACAUAGAAUGGGGGUACAGGCAUUGGGUAAAUACAGCCAUUUCAAAUGGGAGAAAUUGGCUAAAAUGAGGGGGCUAAAGACCCCAUGCAAGUCUAAAAUCCAGCAGGGCAGUCAAAUCUUAAAGCUCCAAAAUGUUCUCCUUCAACUUAAUGUCUCUCAUCCAGGUCACACUGAUGCAAGAGGUGGGUUCCCAUGAUCUUAGGUCCCCUGUGGCUUUGUAGGGUACAGCCUCCCUCCUGGCUGCUCUCACAGGGUGGCAUUGAGUGUCUGUGGCUGUUCCAGACACAUGAUGCAAGCUGUUGGUGGAUCCACCAUUCUGGGGUCUGGUGGAUGGUGGCCCUCUUCUCACAGCUCCACUAGGCAGUGCCCAGUGGACUCUGUGUGGAGGCUUCAACCCCACAUUUCCCUUCCAUACUGCCCUAGCAGAGGAUCUCCAUGAGGGUCCUGCCCCUGCAGCAAAUUUCUGCUUGGACAUCCAAGCAAUUUAUAUAUCCUCUGAAAUCUAGGCAGAGGUUCCUAAAUCUCAAUUUUUGACUUCUGUGCACCCACAGGCUCAACACCACAUGGAAACUGCCAAGGCUUGGGGCUUGCACCCUCUGAAGCCAUGGCCUGAGCUGCACCUUGGCCCCUUUUUGCCAUGGCUAGAGCGGGUGGGAUGCAGGGAACCAAGCUCCUAGGCUUCACACAGAAGGGGGACCCUGGGCCUGGCCCAUGAAACCAUUUUUUCCUCCUAGGACUCUGGGCCUGUGAAGGGAGGGGCUUCCGUGAAAGUCUCUGACAUGCUCUGGAGACAUUUUCCCCAUUGUCUUGCUGAUUAACAUUUGACUCCUCAUUACUUAUGCAAAUUUUUGCAGCCAGCUUAAAUAUCUCCUCAGAAAAUUGGUUUUUCUUUUCUAUUGCAUUAUCAGGCUACACAUUUUUCAAACUUUUAUGCUUUGUUUCCCUUUUAAAACUGAAUGCUUUUAAAAGCGCCCAAGUCAACUCUUGAACUAUUUGCUGCUUAGAAAUUUCUUCCACAAGAUACCCUUAAUAAUCUCCCUCAAGUUCAAAGUUCCAAAAAUCUCUAAGGCAGGGUCAAAAUGCUGCCAGUCUCUUUGCUAAAGCAUACAUAGCAGGAGUCACCUUUGCUCCAGUUCCCAACAAAUUUUUUGUCUCCAUCUGAGACCAACUCAGCCUGGAUUUCAUUGUCCAUAUCAUUAUUAGCGUUUUGGUCAAAGCCAUUCAACAAGUCUCUAGGAAUUUCCAAACUUUCCCACGUUUUCCUGUCUUCUUCUGAGCCUUCCAAACUGUUCCAACCUCUGCUUGUUAUCCAGUUCCAAAGUUGCUUCCACAUUUUUAGGUAUCUUUACAGCAGCCCGCCACUCUACUCCUACUAAUUUAGUGUAUUAAUCUGUUUUCAUGAUGCUGAUAAAAACAUACUUGAGACUUGGUAAUUUAUAAAGAAAAGGAGGUUUAAUGGACUCAUAGUUCCAUGUAGCCAGGGAGGCGUUACAAUCGUGGUGGAGGAUGAAAGGCACGUCUUACAUGGAGACAGGGCAGGGGCCUUGUGUAGGGGAACUCCCCUUUAUAAAACCACCAGAUCUUGUGAGCCUUAUUCACUAUCACAAGAACAGCAUGGGAAAGACCCGCCCCCAUGAUUCAAUUACUUCCCACUGGUUCCCUCUCACAGUGUGUGGUAAUUAUGGAAAUUAUAAUUUAAGAUGAGAUUUGGGUGGGGACACAGAUAAACUAUAUCAGUGAGGAAAGCAUGUUGAAAGCUGAGAGAGGUCAAAAGCUAGGCUUCUUG